AUUCUUAUAAUUCAAGUAUAGAAUAUUGCAUUGAAGCUGCAAAAGUGGUCUUAACGGCCUGUGAAUA
rnacentral:tRNA from 1 species